rnacentral:rRNA from 1 species
CACGUAGGGGGCGAGCGUUGUCCGGAAUCAUUGGGCGUAAAGAGCUCGUAGGCGGCUCGGUAAGUCGGGUGUGAAACCCCCAGGCUCAACCUGGGGACGCCACCCGAUACUGCUGUGGCUAGAGUCCAGUAGGGGAGUGUGGAAUUCCCGGUGUAGCGGUGAAAUGCGCAGAUAUCGGGAGGAACACCAGCGGCGAAGGCGGCACUCUGGGACGGUACUGACGCUGAGACGCGAAAGCGUGGGGAGCGAACAGG